rnacentral:pre_miRNA from 1 species
GGGGUCAGGAGGGCAGGGCAGCCUGACUCGCAGCAGAGAGCUGAUGCCUGUACCUGUGCUGAGGGUCAGGCUGGACUGCAGCCACCCUGGCUCG